AGCAGACAAGAAACAAUCACAGAACCAGACAGAGAUUAUACAGACAAACAAUAGGGAAAUGGGGACUACAAUGAUAGAACAACACAGAUUGAGAAUUUCACAUCCCAGCUAUUGAUAAGUAAGGGAGCUAGAAAAAGUAAAGCAGAAAAAUGAGCACCAGCGAAACAGCUGCAAAGCUACAAUUAGCCAGAUUGGAGGCAGAAGAAAAGGAGAAAGAACAGGAACUCCAUAAAUGGCAGGCAGAAAUGAGACGGAGAGAAGCAUUUGCUGCACUGGAAGCAGAGGAAGCACCCACAGGCAAGCCCUGGAGCUGAGACAACAAGAAGCUGAAGCCCAUAAGAGUCACUGGGCUGAAAGACAGAGGGGCUGAAGAGAAAGAGAGGAAACACAACCUGGAGCUAAUAGAAAAACAUGAAAAGAUUCCAGAAAGUCACCAACGUCUCCCUCCACUCAAGGAACCCUCAGCUUUGUCCUUCAUACAAAGAGCCAGACUGCACUGAGGAAUCCCUCACCACUUUUGACAUUCCUGAGGACGAGAAAGUCCCCACACUGAUUGCAAAACUGUCUGCAGCUGAGCAAUGGUGCUUCAGAGGAUUUGGAGAUUCUGGACGCUGACAGCUCGGAAGGGACAAACGGAUUGCGCCUGAUCUGUUUUUGCCCAGACCCAAAGACAUGCUCAGCAGGAUGCCGAAAGAGAGGGAGAUGCUUAUUCUACAGGCCUGUACUAUCUAUCAUUGAGGAAGAAAUAUGGAAUUGAGCCUCUGCAAGUUUAUAAAACCAUUAUGCGCACAACUGUACGAGUUGCUGUGCACAGAAUCAUCAAGCAGGGCCUGAGAGAGAAGCAAAUUAGGAUUGCCCUGGGUGAUGAGAUUGAAAUUGAGAUGCCCCCGAUCAGAGGAGUCACGACUAAGUGAACUGGUCUGUAGAUGAUGUAAACUGUAAAAUUAAAGAAAUUAGUGGUAGCUUGUGUAACGAGAGUGCUUUAAAUAUGAUCAAAACAAUGAGGAGUCCGGUGGCAUCUUAAAAACUAAGAAAUUUAUUUGGGCAUAAGCUUUCGUGGGUAAAAAACCCACUUCUUCAGAGGCAUGGUGUGAAAAUUACAGAU